AUCUCGGUAGCUUAGCGGUCAAAAGCAGUGGGGUGUAAACCUGAAGACCUGGGUUCGAAUCCCAGCCGAGUUCAUA